GAUGAACGCUGGCGGCGUGCCUAAUACAUGCCAGUCGAGCGAACGGACGAGAAGCUUGCUUUUCUGAUGUUAGCGGCGGACGGGUGAGUAACACGUGGAUAACCUACCUAUAAGACUGGGAUAACUUCGGGAAACCGGAGCUAAUACCGGAUAAUAUUUUGAACCGCAUGAUUCAAAAGUGAAAGACGGUCUUGCUGUCACUUAUAGAUGGAUCCGCGCUGCAUUAGCUAGUUGGUAAGGUAACGGCUUACCAAGGCAACGAUGCAUAGCCGACCUGAGAGAGUGAUCGGCCACACUGGAACUGAGACACGGUCCAGACUCCUACGGGAGGCAGCAGUAGGAAAUCUUCCGCAAUGGGCGAAAGCCUGACGGAGCAACGCCGCGUGAGUGAUGAAGGUCUUCGGAUCGUAAAACUCUGUUAUUCGGGAAGAACAUAUGUGUAAGUAACUGUGCACAUCUUGACGGUACCUAAUCAAAAAGCAACGGCUAACUACGUG
rnacentral:rRNA from 1 species